rnacentral:lncRNA from 1 species
ACUUCUCUCUCUGUCUCUCCUGCCACCAUGUGAAGAAGGUGCUUGUUUCCCCUUUGCCUUCCGCCAUGAGUGUAAGUUUCCUGAGGUCUCCCAGUCAUACUGCUGGUUAAGCCUGCAGAACGGCUGGUCUUGAACUCCCAGCCUCAAGCCAUCCUCCCGCCUUGGCCUUUCAAAGUGCUGGAUUACAAGCGUGAGCCACCGUGCACAGCCAAGACACAAUUUUAAAUCGAGCGGUCAGGAAGCCUCCUGGAGAAAAUGACGUUUGAACAAAGACAUGAAGAAAGUGGAGAAUAUUUGGAGAAAAGCAUUUCAGGCAGAGGAAAGUGCCAGGGCAGAGGCCCCGAGGACAGGAAAAUGAGACCCACAGAAGUUCAAGUCACCAGGCCAGUUAUUGUUGGGCUAGCACUUGAAGCCAGGUCUGCCUGAAUUUAGGGCCUCAGCUCUUUCCCACGCAUUUUUAGCCCAGAACCAAGCUGUUCAUAAAAGGUGUGCCUGCAAAUAGGAAACUAGAGAGCAUGGGCCCUCAGAGAGAGCUCUGAACCCCAUCUUCGACCUCGAACCUGUCCUUGGACUGAACCUGUCUUUAGGAGGUCUGCCCAUACGGAUGAAUCUGGAGCAGAGGCCGGGCUCAGCAGGAGAGCUUCACAAAACUGAGAUUCGAUGAAGCAGAGCCCCGUUUUAAGGGCUGCACAAAUCCACCCGGA